rnacentral:rRNA from 1 species
CUGUAAACCUCUUUUAUCAAGGAAGAAGAUCUGACGGUACUUGAUGAAUAAGCCACGGCUAAUUCCGUGCCAGCAGCCGCGGUAAUACGGGAGUGGCAAGCGUUAUCCGGAAUUAUUGGGCGUAAAGCGUCCGCAGGCGGCCCUUCAAGUCUGCUGUUAAAAAGUGGAGCUUAACUCCAUCAUGGCAGUGGAAACUGAGGGGCUUGAGUGUGGUAGGGGCAGAGGGAAUUCCCGGUGUAGCGGUGAAAUGCGUAGAUAUCGGGAAGAACACCAGUGGCGAAGGCGCUCUGCUGGGCCAUCACUGACGCUCAUGGACGAAAGCCAGGGGAGCGAAAGGGAUUAGAUACCCCUGUAGUCCUGGCCGUAAACGAUGAACACUAGGUGUCGGGGGAAUCGACCCCCUCGGUGUCGUAGCCAACGCGUUAAGUGUUCCGCCUGGGGAGUACGCACGCAAGUGUGAAACUCAAAGGAAUUGACGGGGGCCCGCACAAGCGGUGGAGUAUGUGGUUUAAUUCGAUGCAACGCGAAGAACCUUACCAGGGUUUGACAUCCUGCGAAUCUCUUGGAAACGAGAGAGUGCCUUCGGGAGCGCAGUGACAGGUGGUGCAUGGCUGUCGUCAGCUCGUGUCGUGAGAUGUUGGGUUAAGUCCCGCAACGAGCGCAACCCACGUCUUUAGUUGCCAGCAUUUAGUUGGGCACUCUAGAGAGACCGCCGGUGAUAAACCGGAGGAAGGUGUGGAUGACGUCAAGUCAUCAUGCCCCUUACAUCCUGGGCUACACACGUACUACAAUGCUACGGACAAAGGGCAGCAAGUUCGCGAGGACAAGCAAAUCCCAUAAACCGUGGCUCAGUUCAGAUCGUAGGCUGCAACUCGCCUACGUGAAGGAGGAAUCGCUAGUAAUCGCAGGUCAGCAUACUGCGGUGAAUACGUUCCCGGGCCUUGUACACACCGCCCGUCACACCAUGGAAGUUGGCCACGCCCGAAGCCGUUACUCCAACCCUUGUGGAGGAGGACGUCGAAGGUGGGGCUGAUGACUGGGGUGAAGUCGUAACAAGGUA